rfam:Atopostipes suicloacalis DSM 15692 genome assembly, contig: EJ15DRAFT_scaffold00011.11
CAUCUAAGCGUGAAGCCCCCUUUAAGAUGAGAUCUCCCAUUCCUUUAAGGAAGUAAGACCCCUGAAAGACGAUCAGGUAGAUAGGCUGGAAGUGGAAGUCUAGUGAUAGAUGGAGCGGACCAGUACUAAUCGGUCGAGGACUUAACCAA